AACGAACGCUGGCGGCAUGCUUAACACAUGCAAGUCGAACGAAGGCCCUCGCUUGCGAGGUGUCCUUAGUGGCGCACGGGUGAGUAACGCGUGGGAACCUGCCCAGAAGCGGGGAACAACCAUUGGAAACGAUGGCUAAUACCGCAUACGCCCUCCGGGGGAAAGGCUUCGGCCACUUUUGGAUGGUCCCGCGUCUGAUUAGCUUGUUGGUGAGGUAACGGCUCACCAAGGCGACGAUCAGUAGCUGGUCUGAGAGGAUGAUCAGCCACACUGGGACUGAGACACGGCCCAG
rnacentral:rRNA from 1 species